UGUCUCCUAGUCUCUCAGUGUCCCCAUGUCUCACAGUGCCCCCAAGUGUCUCAGUGUCCCCUAGUAUAAAAGAAAGAAAUCUCAGGCACUCACUGUGAUAGAUUUAAGCAGGUUUAUUGGACACCGCAACGUUUUGACCUGUACCCAGGUUUUUAUCAAGUCUACAGUGUCCCCUAUGUAUCACAGUGUCUCAGUGCCCCAUGUCUCCCAGUGUCCCCUCAUGUCUCAAAGUCACCCAGUGUCCCCAUGUCUCCCAGUGUUCCCAAGAGUCUCAGUGUCCCCAGGUCUCCCAGUGUUCC